rnacentral:misc_RNA from 1 species
GAUGAAGACGUAGCGAAAUGCGAUAAGUAAUGUGAAUUGCAGAAUUCAGUGAAUCAUCGAAUCUUUGAACGCACAUUGCGCCCAUCAGUAUUCUGUUGGGCAUGCCUGUCCGAGCGUCAUUUCAACCCUCAGGGCCCGUUCGCGGGAACUGGUGUUGGGGAUCGGCCUCCCCCCGGAGGCCGGCCCCGAAAUGCAGUGGCGGCUCUACCGCGAUCUCCUCUGUGUAGUAGCGAUACCUCGCAGCUGGAUAGUGGUGGUGCCACGCCGUAAAAUCCCAACUUUACCAAGGUUGACCUCGGAUCAGGUAGGAAUACCCGCUGAACUUAAGCAUAUCAAUAAGCGGAGGA